GUCUUUUUGAUAAUUAUUUAAGGUCUAGCCUGCUCCAUGAUUUAAUUAAAUAGCCGCAGUAUUUUGACUGUGCAAAGGUAGCAUAAUCAUUAGUUUUUUAAUUGGAAGCUGGAAUGAAUGGUUGGAUGAGAAAGAGGCUGUCUCAUUUAAAUUUUAUUUGAAUUUUAUUUUUAAGUUAAAAAGCUUAAAUUUUGUAAAAAGACGAGAAGACCCUAUAGAGUUUAAUAAGGAAUAGUAUAAUUACUUAAAGGUUUUAAUUUAAUUAUAUUGUUUCUUGUUUAGUUGGGGUGACACGAGAACUUAAAAAACUUCUUGUUAUUUAUACAUUGAUUAAUGAGUCUAUGAUCCUGUUUUUCGGAUUAGAAGAGUAAAUUACCUUAGGGAUAACAGCGUAAUUCUUUUGGAGAGUUCUAAUCGAUAAAAGGGAUUGCGACCUCGAUGUUGGAUUAAAGUUAAGUUCUGGUGCAGAAGCUGGGAUUUUAAGUCUGUUCGACUUUUAAAACUUUACAUGAUCUGAGUUUAAACCGGCGUGAGCCAGGUUGGUUUCUAUCUUUUAUAGAUGAAAUAUUUUAGUACGAAAGGACCAAGUAUUUAAAUGACAUUUUUUAUUUGAAUAAAAUUGUUAUUUUGGCAGACUAGUGCGAUAGAUUUAGAAUCUUUAUAUGUAAUUAUAUUACAGGUAACAAUUUAUUAUAUGGAUUUACUUUUAUUGAUAGUUUCAGCUUUAAUUCUUAUAUUGUGUAUCUUAGUAGGGGUUGCUUUUUUAACGUUGUUAGAGCGUAAAAUUUU
rnacentral:rRNA from 1 species